UUAAAGUUUAAUUUUAUCUUAUAAAUUUAAUAUUUUUUUUAUUUACAUGUAAAUUAAUUUAUGAAUUAUAAUAUAAUUUAAAUAAUUUUAUUAAUGAAUUAUAAUUGCAGUAUUUAAUUUUAUUAAUUUAAGAAAUUAAGAAUUAUAAAUAAAUAUAAAAUUAACAAAAUUUGUGCCAGCAGUUGCGGUUAUUCAAAUAAUUUAAUUAAAUUUUAUUAGUAAAUAAUUAUAAGUAAUUAGAAAAUUAAAAUUUUAUUUAUUAAGUUAAAUUUUAAAUAAAAUAAGAAUUUAUUAAUAAGUAUUUAUUUAUUAUGAAAUUUAGUAUUAAACUAGGAUUAGAUACCCUAUUAUUUAAAAUGUAAAAUUUAUACUAAAGUAUUAGUUGUUAUGUUCUUUAAAUUUAAAAAAUUUGGCGGUAUUUUAGUCUAUUUAGAGGAACUUGUUCUAUAAUUGAUAAUCCACGAUUAACUUUACUUAAUUUAAAAAUUUAUAUAUCGUUGUUUAAAAAAUUUUAAAAGAAUUAAAAUUUUUAAAAUUUAUUAUAAUAAAGUAUAUCAGAUCAAGAUGUAGUUUAUAAUUAAGAAGAAAUGAGUUACAAUAAAUUUAUUUAUUAUAGAUUUAGAUUUUAAUAUAUUUAAUGAAAGUGGAUUUAAUAGUAAUUUAAAUAAUUUUAUUUAGAUGAUUUUAGCUCUAAAAUAUGUACAUAUUGCCCGUCACUCUUAAUUAAUUUAAGAUAAGUCGUAACAAAGUAGAUGUAUUGGAAAAUGUAUCUAGAAGAUC
rnacentral:ncRNA from 1 species